rnacentral:rRNA from 1 species
UACGAGGGGGGCGAGCGUUGUUCGGAAUUAUUGGGCGUAAAGGGUGCGUAGGCGGUUUGGUAAGUCUUAUGUGAAAUCUAUGGGCUCAACUCAUAGUCUGCAUGAGAAACUGCCGGGCUUGAGUAUGGGAGAGGUGAGUGGAAUUCCUGGUGUAGUGGUGAAAUGCGUAGAUAUCAGGAGGAACACCUGUGGCGAAAGCGGCUCACUGGACCAUAACUGACGCUGAUGCACGAAAGCUAGGGGAGCAAACAGG